GCAUCUUCUUGUUAUUAAAGAAUUUCGAUAACCGAUGGGGAUGCGUUCCAUUAGUUUGUUGGCGGGGUAACGGCCCACCAAGACAUCGAUGGAUAGGGGUUCUGAGAGGAAGGUCCCCCACAUUGGAACUGAGACACGGUCCAAACUCCUACGGGAGGCAGCAGUGAGGAAUAUUGGUCAAUGGACGAGAGUCUGAACCAGCCAAGUAGCGUGAAGGAUGACUGCCCUAUGGGUUGUAAACUUCUUUUAUAUGGGAAUAAAGUGAGCCACGUGUGGCUUUUUGUAUGUACCAUACGAAUAAGGAUCGGCUAACUCCGUGCCAGCAGCCGCGGUAAUACGGAGGAUCCGAGCGUUAUCCGGAUUUAUUGGGUUUAAAGGGAGCGUAGGCGGACUAUUAAGUCAGCUGUGAAAGUUUGCGGCUCAACCGUAAAAUUGCAGUUGAUACUGGUCGUCUUGAGUGCAGUAGAGGUAGGCGGAAUUCGCGGUGUAGCGGUGAAAUGCUUAGAUAUCACGAAGAACUCCGAUUGCGAAGGCAGCUUACUGGACUGUAACUGACGCUGAUGCUCGAAAGUGUGGGUAUCAAACAGGAUUAGAUACCCUGGUAGUCCACACAGUAAACGAUGAAUACUCGCUGUUUGCGAUAUACAGCAAGCGGCC
rnacentral:rRNA from 1 species